rnacentral:rRNA from 1 species
ACCCGAUGCAAACUGCGAAUACCGGAGAAUGUUAUCACGGGAGACACACGGCGGGUGCUAACGUCCGUCGUGAAGAGGGAAACAACCCAGACCGCCAGCUAAGGUCCCAAAGUCAUGGUUAAGUGGGAAACGAUGUGGGAAGGCCCAGACAGCCAGGAUGUUGGCUUAGAAGCAGCCAUCAUUUAAAGAAAGCGUAAUAGCUCACUGGUCGAGUCGGCCUGCGCGGAAGAUGUAACGGGGCUAAACCAUGCACCGAAGCUGCGGCAGCGACGCUUAUGCGUUGUUGGGUAGGGGAGCGUUCUGUAAGCCUGCGAAGGUGUGCUGUGAGGCAUGCUGGAGGUAUCAGAAGUGCGAAUGCUGACAUAAGUAACGAUAAAGCGGGUGAAAAGCCCGCUCGCCGGAAGACCAAGGGUUCCUGUCCAACGUUAAUCGGGGCAGGGUGAGUCGACCCCUAAGGCGAGGCCGAAAGGCGUAGUCGAUGGGAAACAGGUUAAUAUUCCUGUACUUGGUGUUACUGCGAAGGGGGGACGGAGAAGGCUAUGUUGGCCGGGCGACGGUUGUCCCGGUUUAAGCGUGUAGGCUGGUUUUCCAGGCAAAUCCGGAAAAUCAAGGCUGAGGCGUGAUGACGAGGCACUACGGUGCUGAAGCAACAAAUGCCCUGCUUCCAGGAAAAGCCUCUAAGCAUCAGGUAACAUCAAAUCGUACCCCAAACCGACACAGGUGGUCAGGUAGAGAAUACCAAGGCGCUUGAGAGAACUCGGGUGAAGGAACUAGGCAAAAUGGUGCCGUAACUUCGGGAGAAGGCACGCUGAUAUGUAGGUGAAGUCCCUUGCGGAUGGAGCUGAAAUCAGUCGAAGAUACCAGCUGGCUGCAACUGUUUAUUAAAAACACAGCACUGUGCAAACACGAAAGUGGACGUAUACGGUGUGACGCCUGCCCGGUGCCGGAAGGUUAAUUGAUGGGGUCAGCGCAAGCGAAGCUCUUGAUCGAAGCCCCGGUAAACGGCGGCCGUAACUAUAACGGUCCUAAGGUAGCGAAAUUCCUUGUCGGGUAAGUUCCGACCUGCACGAAUGGCGUAAUGAUGGCCAGGCUGUCUCCACCCGAGACUCAGUGAAAUUGAACUCGCUGUGAAGAUGCAGUGUACCCGCGGCAAGACGGAAAGACCCCGUGAACCUUUACUAUAGCUUGACACUGAACAUUGAGCCUUGAUGUGUAGGAUAGGUGGGAGGCUUUGAAGUGUGGACGCCAGUCUGCAUGGAGCCGGCCUUGAAAUACCACCCUUUAAUGUUUGAUGUUCUAACGUGGACCCGUGAUCCGGGUUGCGGACAGUGUCUGGUGGGUAGUUUGACUGGGGCGGUCUCCUCCUAAAGAGUAACGGAGGAGCACGAAGGUUGGCUAAUCCUGGUCGGACAUCAGGAGGUUAGUGCAAUGGCAUAAGCCAGCUUGACUGCGAGCGUGACGGCGCGAGCAGGUGCGAAAGCAGGUCAUAGUGAUCCGGUGGUUCUGAAUGGAAGGGCCAUCGCUCAACGGAUAAAAGGUACUCCGGGGAUAACAGGCUGAUACCGCCCAAGAGUUCAUAUCGACGGCGGUGUUUGGCACCUCGAUGUCGGCUCAUCACAUCCUGGGGCUGAAGUAGGUCCCAAGGGUAUGGCUGUUCGCCAUUUAAAGUGGUACGCGAGCUGGGUUUAGAACGUCGUGAGACAGUUCGGUCCCUAUCUGCCGUGGGCGCUGGAGAACUGAGGGGGGCUGCUCCUAGUACGAGAGGACCGGAGUGGACGCAUCACUGGUGUUCGGGUUGUCAUGCCAAUGGCACUGCCCGGUAGCUAAAUGCGGAAGAGAUAAGUGCUGAAAGCAUCUAAGCACGAAACUUGCCCCGAGAUGAGUUCUCCCUGACCCUUUAAGGGUCCUGAAGGAACGUUGAAGACGACGACGUUGAUAGGCCGGGUGUGUAAGCGCAGCGAUGCGUUGAGCUAACCGGUACUAAUGAACCGUGAGG